AUUUCACAAUUGACGGUGUCUGUCAUUUAGUGAGAAAUAUUUCAUUCUAAAUUUAUUUCAGUAUUUUUUAUAUACCUAUACUAUUUUUAAAUUCUGUGUUGACAUGUUACAUAACGGUUCACUAUAACUAUGCGCCUUCCUGUGUUGUAUUAAUGAAUCUAAUUCGUCUACCACCAGCACGUCAUUGAGAACGUCUCCUUUGGAAGGAUCAGGGUCUAUUGUUUCAUCUAUGACAACAGAAGCAGCUGGUACUUUAUUCUUGUUGUGUACAUACAUAUAUUCAAGAAUACACACAGAAAAUUUCAUAUCGUUCCGGUCAAUAUUUUCGAAGUUACACGCAAAUUUGAAAAGGCGUUUCAGAAUGCUUGGAAGUACAAGGCUGGUGCGGCAGCGACUACCUAGCGUACAGGCCCCUUUUAUGUACCUGCCUAUUGUAAAUGCUCCCUUCUAAUGUAUUUAGCUGUGUAAAUCAACAUUGUGGUUUUUUUUAUACCUGAAAUGUAAAUUUUUAUUUUUGGAAUGGAUAUUAAAUUUUAUAACAGUA